rnacentral:rRNA from 1 species
ACUCCUACGGGAGGCAGCAGUGAGGAAUAUUGGUCAAUGGACGCAAGUCUGAACCAGCCAUGUCGCGUGCAGGAAGACUGCCCUAUGGGUUGUAAACUGCUUUUAUACGGGAAGAAAUAUAGCUACGUGUAGUUAUUUGCCGGUACCGUAUGAAUAAGCAUCGGCUAACUCCGUGCCAGCAGCCGCGGUAAUACGGGAGGAUGCGAGCGUUAUCCGGUAUUCAGUUAGGGGUUUAAAGGGGUGCGUAGGCGGAAGUAUAAGUCGAGGGGUAGUAAAGUUUGUGGCUCAACCAAUAAAAUUGUCCUUUGAUACUGUAUUUCUUGAGUACAUUUGAGGUAGGCGGAAUGUGUUGUGUAGCGGUGAAAUGCUUAGAUAUAACACAGAACACCGAUUGCGAAGGCAGCUUACUAAACUGUAACUGACGCUGAUGCACGAAAGCGUGGGGAUCGAACAGGAUUAGAUACCCUGGUAGCACAGAG